AUUCAAGAAACAUGGGCAAUCUGCCUGGAGCCUUUAGCUAUGCAUCAGAGACAUUUUCAAAAGCCCGUCAGAAUUUUCCUAAAAGGCUCAGUGACACAGUGGUCUCUCCCAAUGAGCAGUGCUUUAGGCACUGACAACUGGAUGCUACAAAGUCCAGAGGAACACAAGUCAACUCAAAGGCUGCUGUUUCAGGAGCUGGUAAGCAGGCUGACUGCUGAAGAAUUCCAUCUGGUGGCCAGUGUGGAUCCUGGUGACGGCUGGCCCCCCAUCACGGGAAUUAUCUCCCCAUUCUCUGCCAAUGCCAUGAUUCUCACAGUGCUCCGAGCCAAAGAAGCUGAAUUUCAAAGA
rnacentral:lncRNA from 1 species